rnacentral:rRNA from 1 species
GACGAACGCUGGCGGCGUGCUUAACACAUGCAAGUCGAACGAUGAACCCGGAGCUUGCUCCGGUGGAUUAGUGGCGAACGGGUGAGUAACACGUGAGUAACCUGCCCUUGACUCUGGGAUAACUGCGGGAAACUGUAGCUAAUACCGGAUACGACCCUCGGCGGCAUCGCCAGGGGGUGGAAAGAAUUUCGGUCAAGGAUGGACUCGCGGCCUAUCAGCUAGUUGGUGAGGUAACGGCUCACCAAGGCGACGACGGGUAGCCGGCCUGAGAGGGUGACCGGCCACACUGGGACUGAGACACGGCCCAGACUCCUACGGGAGGCAGCAGUGGGGAAGAUUGCACAAUGGGCGCAAGCCUGAUGCAGCGACGCCGCGUGAGGGGUGACGGCCUUCGGGUUGUAAACCUCUUUUAGUAGGGAAGAAGCGAAAGUGACGGUACCUGCAGAAAAAGCACCGGCUAACUACGUGCCAGCCGCCGCGGUAA